rnacentral:rRNA from 1 species
UACAGAGGUCCCAAGCGUUGUUCGGAUUCACUGGGCGUAAAGGGUGCGUAGGCGGUCGGGUAAGUCUGAUGUGAAAUCUCACAGCUUAACUGUGAAACUGCAUUGGAUACUAUCCGGCUCGAGGAAUGGAGGGGAGACUGGAAUACUUGGUGUAGCAGUGAAAUGCGUAGAUAUCAAGUGGAACACCAGUGGCGAAGGCGAGUCUCUGGACAUUUCCUGACGCUGAGGCACGAAAGCCAGGGGAGCAAAAGGG